CGACACACAUCCACCACGAACUUUGGGGUGAAAUUUACGAAUUUAAACGAUUUCAGGAUGCACCUGCAUAUCCCGCCGACCUGUCAGAGUGUAAAUUGAUUUGUCUCGUUUGUCGAACUUGUCUCGGGAUUUGUAGAAUUUAAGUGUCUAACUUACAUGAUUCGGUUCCAGUUGUCAGGAAAUAUCUUGUGGGUGAGUUUGUGGUUAACUUCAUGCAGUUUCACAACUAAAAUACAAAGAGAAGACUAUUGCUUUUACCAGCAAAACCCUUGGCCUAUGGAGUCAUCUCAAUAAAAACCUCUAAAAGUACUCAUUAUACCUUUAAUACCUUAAGGUGUGGGUAGUACCAGAAAUGUGCGCUCAAAAGUGAUGAAAUGGGUGGGUUUUGUCACAGGUAGUUUGAGCAGUCAAACAUUUUUUACCUCAAACACGAUCAGGUCAAUCCAGAAUCCGAUAUCCUUGUCAGAUCGUAAAAGCUGCUGCUGCUACCUGAAGUCUGCUAUGUUUCCACCAAUUAAAAAUUCUUCUUAGUUCAACCAAACUGGUCUCCUUCAACUGUAUGCCCAUUGUGGUGAAGAGGAAGGAAACAGGUGCUGCUGUCACCAGUCCACAAAGGAAAAUGUCACAAACUUCUCAAAGAUUUAAAUUGUUUCUUCACCAUCUGCUAUUAAAUUAAACUAUAAAUC